CGUUUAAUCUCGCUGAUAUUUUCUUUGAACCGUGCCCUUGUCUUUGCUCAGGUGCCCUGUCACUCACCCGGUCUCCUGUUGUGUCCAAAGUUAAAAUCUCAACACCUUCCUAAAAGGGAAAAUGAGAACUCCCCUGGCUGAGAUCUAUUUUAUUUGAUAAAAAAACACAAACGUGGUUCAGUUUUAAAUGUUUUCUUUUUCUCCAGGUGGUCCCUGAAGAUGCAGGGUACAAGAGUCCAGCCAGUGCCAAGUGUCACCACAGCUCCCUUGAACACCACCACCAUGUCCAGAGAGCAGAUUCUCAUUCAGAGUUCGGGGGCUAUGAUUGCUGUAAUUGUCAUUGGGAUUACUAUCAUACUUGGAAUAAUCCUGAUCAUAUUAAUGAUAUAUAACAGGAAAACGCGUGUCUCACGGGUACUGGGGACAAGGUCUCGCAAGAAGAUGUGGUCCUCAACAGCUCAGACCAACCUGCCCAUGGGGAAUCUGGGCAGCAACAGCUGUGCUUCAGGAAGCCAGUAUCGAAAUGAAAAUGGCCUCACGGAAAACGAAUUUAGACUCCCUAGGGUGGAGAUGCACCAGAACGUCUUUGUCCUCUAUGCCACAGACACGGAGCCUGUUCCGGUGUCUGUGCACAGCUCCUCUUCCUUGGAGAACACAUAACAUCUCAGCAGCAAAGCUGGUGGAGCCGUGGAACAAGUCUGAAGUCUACUGGAACUGUGCAGUUUACUACGUUCUUAGGAUACACACUCAUAACUGAGCCAGUACUGAGCUGCUCGGUCCUCGGUCCUGUCCUUGAGAGCACUGCAUUGGAAAACUCCCAUGCUGUUUGGAAGGACGCAAACCAGACACUUAAUAGAAGGCAAACAGGUGUUGAAAUCUUUAAACCUGUGAGCGACAGGGCUAAAGUGCUGUGAUACUCUAGUGUUCACCAGCAGUGUUUCCAUGGCUGUGUAUCCAAGUGUUGUGCAUACUAGUAGUCAAUGAGUGUUGGACUCAGAAAGUGGCACCACAGACCUUUUCUAGGUUUUGUGAACUUUUUUGUUCUCCUUUCUCUGAUCUGUAAAAGCCCUCAUUGUUAAAAGGGAUGUAUGUAGACAGUGUGUGCAGUGUCUCGAUUGGACCGCAAUGCUACUGAGCUAAACAGUUUCCUUUUUGAAACCCAGAAGGCUUCAGCCCUAAGUUAGACCGUGGGUCUCCAUCCCUGGUGCAGGGUUUUCUGGGUAACGACUGCAGUAUGUCACAAACUUUGAAGAACCUAGAAUAAAUUAACUGUGAUCUAUUAAGCAAGACACGUGUUAAAAGUAUUAACAAGUUAGCAAAGAUUGUUUGGGUCAAAAACCUCCAUUCAGCGCUGUUUGGAAUCUGGUGUUUUUUUGCCACUCUUAGGUUAAGAAAGAGACCCUAAAAUAAGUUUAGGAUUCUGUUGUAUCUCUUAGGCUUUGAAAAAAGGUUGGACACACAGGAGUGAUUUGUUUCAGAAUUAUCUGCCUUAACGGAACAAAUUACUUGCUUAUUUCAUCUAUAACUUAUAAUUACCAUAUUAACAUUCCAACAGUCCAUCAGAAAACUGCUUAUUCUUGUUCAGGGUCACAGCAAACUGGAGUCAAUUCUGGAGUCACAGGGCCCAGGGUGGGACAACACCAUGAACAGGCCUUCCCAAUCCUUAGAAACAGGCGAUUUAGGAUUAGGGUUAGGUUAAUAACCUGUAAUUUACACUGUAUUGGGGCACUCUGGAGGAAGGUUUAAGUCCUUUCAUUCAGAUGAUGUUUAAUCUGAGCCUUUUUAACAAAAUCAAGGAUUUUAUCUCCUUUUUCUCCCCCCCCUGGCUGAAGCAUUCUUUCCUGGUUGAUGUUUUGUUCAUUUUUUGUAAUUGAAAUGACCUUGAUUUCCAUGUAAUAAAGCAAAUCAUGUCCUCUCUACUGUUUCUCAGGCCUGCGUUAGGCAGGUGACAAUAGCCUGUAAUAAAGUGCUUUAGAGGAAGUUCUGCAUCUAUAUAGACCUUUAUGUAGGAUUUACGUUUUCAGUUUUUGUAAUGAAAUGGGAAACGUUUCAACCUGCUUUCCUGGUGAAAGUCUGGUGAUCCUGAUAUUGUAAAAAAUGACUUUACUUGCAAUGCUUGCCGGUGUUUUGAAGAGGAAGGAAACUCAUAGGUACAGUAUAAGUAAACCUAAAAUGAAAGCACAUGGCUAUAACUGUAAAAAGAACCUUUAUACAUCAAUACAAGAUGUUGCUUGUGAUCAACUUGAGCCUGGAGAUUUUUCUGACAUGGUUAUGUAUCCAGAACUGCUCUCUGGCAUCAAGAAAUGUCACUAGACUGAAUUAUUCAAUAUUUACUGUAUAUGUAUAUAUAAUUGAAAUCAAUGUCUAUGCAAUGAUAGUGUUACAUGUUCCUAUAACAGGCUGGAUUUGAUGUUGAGCAAUUAUGCUUGCUUUCUGCUGGUGUUGGAAUAAUAAGCCACAGUAAGAAGUUUUGUGUCCUAAUUUUUAAGAAGAAUAAAUAAAUGG
ensembl:lincRNA